UAAGCAAUUAAGGGCACACGGUGGAUGCCUAGGCAUGCAGAGGCGAAGAAGGACGUGUAAAGCUGCGAUAAGCUGCGGGGAGUUGCAAAAGAACUGUGAUCCGCGGAUUUCCGAAUGGGGCAACCCACUCUAAUUUAUUAGGGUAUCCUUUCGAGGAGGCAUACCCGGGGAACUGAAACAUCUAAGUACCCUUAGGAACAGAAAUCAAUUGAGAUUCCGUCAGUAGCGGCGAGCGAACGCGGAUUAGCCCUUAAGCUUCUUUAUUCUUAGCAGAACGCCCUGGAAAGUGCGGCCAUAGUGGGUGAUAGCCCCGUAUGCGAA
rnacentral:rRNA from 1 species